rnacentral:rRNA from 1 species
GACGAGGGGUCCAAGCGUUGUUCGGAAUCAUUGGGCGUAAAGCGGGUGUAGGCGGCUCUAUAAGUCAGGAGUGAAAUCCCCGAGCUUAACUUGGGAAGUGCUUUUGAUACUGCAGAGCUUGAAUGUGGGAGAGGUUAAUGGAAUUCCAGGUGUAGUGGUGAAAUACGUAGAUAUCUGGAGGAACACCGGUGGCGAAGGCGGUUAACUGGCCCAACAUUGACGCUGAGACCCGAAAGCAUGGGGAUCAAACAGG